AUUCCAGCUCCCCUUUCGACUCCUCCUUCUGCUGCCGUUCCCCCGCUCGUCGUUGACCUUCUGGUAGGACAGAUCCGGCCUUUGGAUGAAUGUCCAUUGUAUGCUGUGUGUCUUGUCUGGCCAUCCUUUAUGUCUUUUAGGCGUAAUCUUUCACUGUAAAAAAAUUAGGGUGUUUCAAGCAAAAGUUAUUUGGAAUAUAUUAGUAUGGGAUGAUAAGAUAGGCUCUUGAGUGCUACUUUGUUGGUUUAUACACUUAGAGAAUGAUUAACAGGGACAGUUGGGGGUAUUCAUAUUUACAUGUCAGAGGUGAAAUUCUUGGAUUUUGGAAAGAUGAACUACUGCGAAGGCAUUUACCAAGGAUGUUUUCAUCA
rnacentral:rRNA from 1 species